UAGCAUAAUCAUUUGUUCUUUAAUUGAGAUCGGGUAUGAACGGUUGAACAAGUAACUUAAUUUUUGAGAGAGUAAAUGAAUUUUUAGGGCGAGUAAAAAUACUUGUGUGAUUUAGAGGGACGACAAGACCCUAAAAUCUUUAGUUUAAUAGGUUUGAGUUAAGUAAGGGUUCAACGGUUUAAACCAAAAAACUUUAGCUGGGGUAGUUUUUUUAAUAUAUUUAAGAUUGGUUAUUGCAUUAUUAUGGUUUAAUGGUCUUUAAUAUUAAGAUAGAUAGAGUUAGUUACUUUAGGGAUAACAGCGUAAUAUUUUUGAUGAGUUCUUAUUUAUGAAAAUGAUUGCGACCUCGAUGUUGAAUUAAAAGAUCCCUACGGAGCAGAAGACGUAGAAGAAGGUUUGUUCAACCUUUAAAUUUUUACAUGAUUU
rnacentral:rRNA from 1 species